rnacentral:lncRNA from 1 species
AUACAUAUGCAUACAUACAUACAUAUGCAUACAUACAUACAUACAUACAUAUGUAUUAUGGAUACAUACAUACAUACAUUCAUCAAUACAUGCAUGCAUACAUGCAUACAUGCAUACAUACAUACAUUGAAACGUACUUACAUAUAUUAAUGCAUACACACAUGCAUUAAAUGCAUAUAUACAUAUGUACACACUCUCUCUCUUCCACUCUCUCUCUCCUUCUCUCUCC